AGUAAGGUAAGCUAAAUUUUAAGCUAAUAGGUUCAUACCCUGUAAAUAGAAGACAAUUUCUCCUUCCUA
rnacentral:tRNA from 1 species